GACGAACGCUGGCGGCGGGGUUUAGGCAUGCAAGUCGCGCGAGAAAGCCGCAAGGCAAGUACAGCGGCGUAAGGGUGAGUAAUAGUUCGUCAACGUACCGACUGGACGCGGAUAAUUCUCCGAAAGGGGUUGUAAUACGCGAUGAGACCACGGGCUGUCCGCAGCACGAGGUCAAAGGUCCGGGAUCCUUCGGGACCGGGCGCCGGUUGAGCGGACGAACUCUGAUUAGCUAGUUGGCGGGUAACGCCCACCAAGGCGAUGAUCAGUAGCCGGGCUGAGAGGCUGUCCGGCCACACGGGCACUGAGACACCGGGCCCGACUCCUACGGGAGGCUGCAGUCGCGAAUCUUUUCACAAUGGGCGCAAGCCUGAUGAAGCCACGCCGCGUGCGGGAUGAAGGG
rnacentral:rRNA from 1 species